AUUGAACGCUGGCGGAAUGCUUUACACAUGCAAGUCGAACGGCAGCACGGGGGCAACCCUGGUGGCGAGUGGCGAACGGGUGAGUAAUACAUCGGAACGUGCCCAGUCGUGGGGGAUAACGUAGCGAAAGUUACGCUAAUACCGCAUACGAUCUACGGAUGAAAGCGGGGGACCGUAAGGCCUCGCGCGAUUGGAGCGGCCGAUGUCAGAUUAGGUAGUUGGUGAGGUAAAGGCUCACCAAGCCGACGAUCUGUAGCUGGUCUGAGAGGACGACCAGCCACACUGGGACUGAGACACGGCCCAGACUCCUACGGGAGGCAGCAGUGGGGAAUUUUGGACAAUGGGCGCAAGCCUGAUCCAGCCAUUCCGCGUGCAGGACGAAGGCCUUCGGGUUGUAAACUGCUUUCGUACGGAGCGAAAAGGCUCUGGUUAAUACCUGGGGCUCAUGACGGUACCGUAAGAAUAAGCACCGGCUAACUACGUGCCAGCAGCCGCCGUAA
rnacentral:rRNA from 1 species